UUAUGUUCAUAAAUAAUUUUAUGCCCAUUUCUUGUGUAUUGAAAGUGGGACAAGCGAGAUAACUCUAAUACUUUUGUGCGGUCUUGUUUUUGGAACAUAUCAGUAUCAGAUUGAGUUCAAGCAGUGGCGGCGCCAUAUUUGUAUGGAAAUACAAUUUUAUUUUUGAACAAGCAAGUUGGCUACAGCGUGUCCAGUGCACAGUUAAUACAUUUGAUGGACUUCUCGUGGUGUGAUCUUUUGGAUUUCCAAGGAAUUCAGCACAUUUAAAGCCAGUCCAAGAGUGGGAAAUACAGCAAGGGACCCUUGUGAUCAAGCAUUUAUUUUUACUGGGAACAAGAUGAGUACCGGUUAUAGGCCUACAGACUAUGGGGGUGGUUACAAAGCCAGUUAAUUUACAACAAGAGGAAGUCGCAAGUGACACUCCAACAAGCAACAAUCAUUCAAGCCAAUUAGAAGAUGGCAAUUUUACCAAGUAAUUCAGGAAAGAGGACAUUGGCUUUGAAAAAACAUUUUCAACCAUGAUGACAGGAGCAUCUGGUUGUAUCAAGAAGUAGUAAAGUUUUGAUGUAAUUAUGCAUCUAACAAAGUUUGUGUACAAUGCAUAAUAAUAUGGUAUUGUUUUACAAGAGUUGAAAUAGUUUCUUUGUAUGUUGGUAAUGUGUUAUUUUUCAUGGACUGUAUCCAGUUUGUAUGAAUUUUAGGGAUACGUCUAUUGUAGUAAGAUUAAAACUCGCACUAGGGUUGGGUGGGGAUUACUGCUGAUGACAGUUCACAUCUGCCUGUCAUUGGCAGUAAGUGGCAUUUUUACCUUACCCCACCUUUGAUGUAAACAUUUUAUACAGUAAUGUUUUGAUCUAUUUGGAAGUUGCAUGUAGUGAUAUUGGUAUCACUGCAAGGUUUAUAAAUGUAAAUCUAUCAAACUACAUUUUCAUUUUUGUAAUAGUUUUACAAAAUUGUCAUUUGAUAAUAAAUGACCUUUUUCAACUUCAAACGGUGUUGUGUUGGUAUCAGAUAGUGCAAUAUUACAUCAAACAGAGCAACCUUUAGUGCGAGUAUCAGGAAGAUGGGCAUAAAUGCUAUUUAUGUUCAUAAAUAAUUUUAUGCCCAUUUCUUGUGUAUUGAAAGUGGGACAAGCGAGAUAACUCUAAUACUUUUGUGCGGUCUUGUUUUUGGAACAUAUCAGUAUCAGAUUGAGUUCAAGCAGUGGCGGCGCCAUAUUUGUAUGGAAAUACAAUUUUAUUUUUGAACAACCCUCCCACCUCUCCCUAAUAGUUAAAAAUUUAUAGUGUUCUUAAUUGAUGUGAAUAAUUUGACAAUAUUUUUCCAUAUUUCUUUUUCAGUAGGUAAGGCAUUUUUACCUUACCCCACCUUUGAUGUAAACAUUUUAUACAGUAAUGUUUUGAUCUAUUUGGAAGUUGCAUGUAGUGAUAUUGGUAUCACUGCAAGGUUUAUAAAUGUAAAUCUAUCAAACUACAUUUUCAUUUUUGUAAUAGUUUUACAAAAUUGUCAUUUGAUAAUAAAUGACCUUUUUCAACUUCAAA